rnacentral:piRNA from 1 species
UACAGAGUGAGCGACAGGUUUUCAG